rnacentral:rRNA from 1 species
GUGCCAGCCGCCGCGGUAAUACGGAGGGUCCAAGCGUUGUCCGGAAUCACUGGGUGUAAAGGGUGCGUAGGCGGGCUUAUAAGUCUGGUGUGAAAGCCACCGGCUCAACCGGUGAACUGCCCUUGAUACUGUAAGUCUUGAGUCCUGGAGAGGCUGUCGGAAUUCGUGGUGUAGCGGUGAAAUGCGUAGAUAUCACGAGGAACACCGGAUGCGUAAGCGGACAGCUGGACAGGUACUGACGCUCAGGCACGAAAGCGUGGGGAGCGAACAGGAUUAGAUACCCCGGUAGUCC